UACGUAGGGGGCAAGCGUUGUCCGGAUUUAUUGGGCGUAAAGAGCGUGUAGGCGGCCUGACAGGUCUGCUGUGAAAACUCGAGGCUCAACCUCGAGAUGUCGGCGGAAACCGUCUGGCUAGAGUCCGGAAGAGGAGAGUGGAAUUCCUGGUGUAGCGGUGAAAUGCGCAGAUAUCAGGAGGAACACCAACAGCGAAGGCAGCACUCUGGGCCGGUACUGACGCUGAGGAGCGAAAGCAUGGGGAGCGAACAGG
rnacentral:rRNA from 1 species